GUCGAUCACUUUUUAAUCAUGUCAAUCACAAGUUGAAAUCGACCAACCUGAAAAUUUUAAAACAGUAUAAGCUGAACAGUGGAAUAGUAGUUAGUUCGAGUUUGGUUAAAAAACGAAACGAACUUGUACUCGAUUAUAGCGUAAUCCUCUCCCUCCGCCAUUGGAGUAGAGUUUUCAGAGCUUGGCUACGAGAAUUGCUCAGUGGUAGUGACCCUUUUGCUUCCAAUACGCAAGGAACGUAAAGCCAAUUUUCCAAGCCCUAAAAUCAUUAGAGGCGUUGCAAAAAAACGAGAUCGACUAUCUAUGGCAGAAUUCAGAUAUAUCAGAAAAGGAUCUCAGCUCACUCUUCGUUUUAUCUCUUCUUCUUUGGUUGGAGCCAUCUUCACCAAUGUUUCCAAAAGCUCAGCUCCCAAGCCUUCUGGAGUGCCUGUUGCAAGCAUAUACAGCAUUUGAGGAUCAUAAUUCAAAUUUCAUGAGCAGAUAUUUUCUUCUACUGCUGCUUUUACAUUCUUAUUUGGGCUGGUUAAAUAUCUAUGUAUUGGCAGCAGUCAUAAUUUGUAUACUGUGUCUGGAAGUGCUGAUGACAUUGGUAGCUGUUUUUUGAAGAGUGCGACUGCACUAUGCCGGUUUAUUAGCACAAUUUAUUUCUGGAUUAGUUUCUUACAGUUUAUAGAAGAGCAUCGUUGUUGCUGUCUGCUUCUAUGCAGAAUGCUUUACUCCAUUUGUAAAACGAAGAAGUAUCACAUAGAUAGCAACUAAGAUGAAAACAUACAAAACAUCCUCUAUGCUAUGUGUACUAUGGGUCUGUAGGAUUAAUGACAUUAGCAAGAAUAAUUCGAAUUGAGGGAUUGAAUGCGUGUAACGUAUAAGUUUAGCGAAUACCUGAAAAUAGCAGAAGGGAAAUAAUUGAAACAACAGUAAACGAGGAAAUACAAGUAAUUGAGGGAUAGGUCUACUCACAAAGUCACAUUCAUUGUUACUAGUUCCAGCUGGAUACAAAAGUGCACAUUGUGCCAGUGUGAAACUAAUCUGACUUGGAUUUGAGAAUCCCUUUGAAAAAAUAUAUGUAGCUAGAACAUUGUCCAACUUCUUUUUUUUUUUUUUUCAGUAACUGUACUUUUCAUUGAACGCCCAAACAAAGAAUACAAAACUCAUCCACAAAGGAAAUCCUACACUACUAGGUCAGGCAAGACCAAAAGCAGAACCAAAAAGGACUUUAAAACACCAGCAAUUACAAAUGAGGGGAUCUCUAAUUAAACAACUGAUUCUUAACAGUUUUCCAAUUACAUGUUUCCAGAAUGUACUUCUAUUAUGCUUGAAAGCAUCUAGUUUAGGAUCAUAAUGGUCAUUUCUGUUUUGCAUCUGAAAGAAGUAGGAUCUAAGUUUGGAACAACAUUGUGGAUAAUUUUUUAAGGGUAUUUUGCCUAUUUAAGUUCCAAAUUUUUUUCCAGGUUUUGGCACCCAGGACCAUGCAUACUUCAUAGAUGAACAUCACCAGAAGCUAGGGUGCCUUUAUGCACUGCCAAGGAGCCUAUCUGGUUAAGCCGCUAUUCUGAGGGAAGCAAAUGUAUUGUUGCAUCAAAUGCUGAUUGUCGAGGUCAUGCCUCGGUUCCAAGUUUAAGACCCAUGGAUUCAGCAGAUACCAUGUAGCACUUCACCAGGAGGGAAUACUGAUCUUCUAGUCAACUCUUUCGGAGCUGAAUUCACCGAAUUACAUCCAAAAAGACUCUCCAUCAUGUCCUCAUUCAAUCUACAAACAUUCCAACAAUUGUCUCUAAGAAAACAGGCAGCAGUGGUACACCACAGUUAGAACUUGUUAUAAAGAUGUAACACUAGUGGACUUACUGAAAGGAGCUCGACUUCAGCUGGUCCCACACCGUUGCUCGGCCGGAGGUGGCCCGGACUUUGUCCCAAUGCAGAGGCUUCAACUUGGGUCUCGAUCCCUCAGCAUCAGCAUCAUCACCAUCACCUCUCUCCAAAGAACCGGCACCUUCACUCUUACCAACUUCUUCAACAGGUCUUGUUUUCUCAACGCCA